rnacentral:tRNA from 1 species
UUCUCUUUUGGCAGAAUAUUGCAAUAGAAUUAGAAUCUAUAGAUCCUAA